UUACAAUGAUGUUGACUUUAAUUUCUUCAACUGAACUUAAACCUUGAGGUUAAUCCUGUGACUUUUCUGAGUAAU